rnacentral:tRNA from 1 species
GGUUAAGGCUCAGUGGCAGAGUGCUUGCCUAGCACACGUGAGGCCCUGGGUUUGAUCCUCAGCACCA